GUGGGGAAUAUUGGGCAAUGGGCGAAAGCCUGACCCAGCAACGCCGCGUGAAGGAAGAAGGUUUUCGGAUCGUAAACUUCUAUCCUUGGUGAAGAUAAUGACGGUAGCCGAGAAGGAAGCCCCGGCUAACUACGUGCCAGCAGCCGCGGUAAUACGUAGGGGGCAAGCGUUGUCCGGAAUGAUUGGGCGUAAAGGGCGCGUAGGCGGCCUGGUAAGUCUGGAGUGAAAGUCCUGCUUUUAAGGUGGGAAUUGCUUUGGAUACUGUCGGGCUUGAGUGCAGGAGAGGUAAGUGGAAUUCCCGGUGUAGCGGUGAAAUGCGUAGAGAUCGGGAGGAACACCAGUGGCGAAGGCGACUUACUGGACUGUAACUGACGCUGAGGCGCGAAAGUGUGGGGAGCAAACAGGAUUAGAUACCCGAGUAGUCC
rnacentral:rRNA from 1 species